rnacentral:rRNA from 1 species
GCACCUCAAAUCAAAUGCAUUGGAUGGAUGCCUCGGCAGAAAGGAAAAGAAGGGACGAACUAAAUCUCGAAAAGCCGUAGAACAGGUGAUGCCCUAAAACCUACGGAUCUCCCAUCGGGAAACCGCAUGCGUCGAUCAGAAACCAAAAGGUGGAAUGUUCGACAGACUACUUGGCCAACUGAAACAUCUAAGUAACCAAAGGAAAAAGAAAUCAACCGAGACUCCGUAAGUAGUGGCGAGCGAACGCGGACAUUGCUAGCUCUUAUUCAACCCCUUAAGAGGCUGAGAAGCCUUGCCAUAGAAGGUCAUAGCCCUGUAAGGGUUGAAUAUUCUGAAGAUUUACCAAUCUUGAAUGAGCAAAGAGCCCAUCCCCAUAGGGGAUUGGAGCUCAUUUUAUUUGAGGGGGGACCACCCUCCAAGCAAAGUAAUCCUUCUGACCUAUAGUGCAAUAGUACCGCGAGGGAAAGGUGAAAAAAACUCUGGAAAGAGGGUGAAAAGAUCUGAAAUCCAAUGCAGACAAUCAGUUGAAGGCAAUUGCCAUAUUGGGCAGUGCAUGAGUGAGAGCCAGGAUUGGCUUGAAUCCAUUCUCAAUUGCUUACAGCGUACCUUUUGUAUAAUGGGUCAGCGAGUCAAUCUUUACAGCAAGCUUAAGCUCUAAAGUGUAGGCGCAAUGAGAAACCAUACCAGUUGUAAGGAUUGGACCCGAAAUCGAUUGAGCUAGCCAUGGGCAGGUUGAAGCGGCGCCCGACAGCACGUGGAAGACCGAAUUCGUUACUGUGGCAAAAGUAUGAAAUGACCUGUGGCUAGGGGUGAAAGGCCUAUCAAAAUCGAAGAUAGCUGGUUUUUUGCGAAAUCUAUUUAGGUAGAGCGUUCUUCAGCAAUCGUGUUUGUAGGGGGUAGAGCACUCGAUGGGCUAGGGUGGCCCAAAGCUUGACCGAUCCCAAGGAAACUCCGAAUACCUACAAACAAUAGAGUGCCCUAUUCUCCUAAAAGAAGCUUGGUAACUUCUUAUUGCUAUGAGUUCCAAUCCCCUAAAGGGAUAUUCAUUUCAAUUCAAGAGAGAAUAGAGGCCAUACGCUGAAAGCAGACAGACUUUGGGUGAUAAGGUCCAAGGUCAAAAGGGAAACAGCCCAGAUCGUAUGCUAAGGUCCCAAAGCAAUCACUUAGUGGAAAAGGUGGUCGCUAGGCGAUUACAACCGGGAGGUGGGCUUGGAAGCAGCCAUCCUAUUAUGACAGCGUAACAGCUCACUGGUCUAGCUUAGCGGCGCCUAAAAUGAACCGGGGCUCAAGUGAUUCACCGAAGCAACGAAAUUGAAUCGAGGGAGCUGAUACGAUUUUGAAGAAUUGUACCGAUCUGCGACCCCAUUCAAUUGGUAGCAAAACGUUCUAUAAGCCCUGUGAAGGCAACUCGUAAGAGAUGCUGGAGGCAUUAGAAGUGAGAAUGCUGACAUAAGUAACGAUUAAUAAUGUGCAAAGCAUUAUCGCCGAAAGUUCAAGGGUUUCAUUGUUCAGUCAAUCUGCAAUGAGUCAAUAAGGCCCCUAAGUUUCAUGCUGAAGAGCAUUGAUCGAUGGGUAGGCUGGGAGCGACGAAGAGAUCGCUGAUGGGGCUAUUGCCCCCUGCUUCGCUCCACUCCUCUCUGGGGAGUGGGGCUCUGCGCUCAAUCAUCUUUCUGAUACAGAACACGCGGCAAUCGCGCCUUGCAGGAGUGAUUUGAUUCGAGACAAUCCUUUUCCUAGAAACAACUCCAGCCACAACUAUACCUUACCCCAAACCGACACAGGUGAACAAGUAGAGAAUACUAAGGCGUUGGGACAAUCACCUUGAAGGAACUCGGCAAAAUCACUCCGUAACUUCGGGAGAAGGAGGGCUCUCAAGAGAGAGUGGCACAGAAUAGGGGGUGGCGGCUGUUUAUUAAAAACACAGGACUCUGCAAAGUACCAAUACCAUGUAUAGAGUCUGACACCUGCCCGGUGCUGUAAGGUGAAUAGGAGAGGUAAGUAUGCUUCGAAUGAAAGCCCCAGUAAACGGCGGCAGUAACUCUAACUGUCCUAAGGUAGCGAAAUUCCUUGACGUAUAAUUAACGUCCUGCAUGAAUGGUGUCACGACUGCCCCGCUGUCUCCAAGGUGAGCCCAGUGAAUUUGAAUUCUCCGUGAAGAUGCGGAGUACCAGCGGCUAGACGGUAAGACCCCGUGCACCUUUACUAUAGCUUUGCACUGGCCACCCCGGUAUGAUGUGUAGAAUAGGUGGGACCAUACAAUUGGGAUCGUGAAAUACCAUCCUUUAUUCUGGGGGGGUCUAACUAUAAGAAUGUAGGACCUUGCAUAGUUGGUAGUUUCCCUGGGGAGGGGUUCUCCUAAAGAGUAACGGAGAAGUGUGAAGGUAAGCUCAAGCUGUGCUUGCGCGCAGCUGUAGAGCGUAAUGGUACAAGCUUGCCUGACUGUAAGACCUACAAGUCGAACAGAGACGAAAGUCGGCCAUAGUGAUCCGGGGGCCCCGUGUGGAAGGGCCCUCGCUCAACGAAUCAAAGGUACGCCGGGGAUAACAGGCUAAUGACCCCCAAGAGCCCAUAUCGACGGGGUCGUUUGGCACCUCGAUGUCGACUCAUCACAUCCUGGGGGUGAAGAAGCUCCCAAGGGUUCGGUUGUUCGCCGAUGAAAGUGGUACGUGAGUUGGGUUUAGAACGUCGUGAGACAGUUUGGUUCCUAUCUACCGUUGGAGGAACAUCAUAGCUGCAGAGCCUUCCCUUCAAAAGGUGGCUCAUUGUGCGCUGUUGAUGAAAAAAGAAUUGAGAGGCGCUGCCCUUAGUACGAGAGGACCGGGGCAGGUAAACCUCUAGUGUACUGACUGUCGCACCAGCGGCAUCGCCAGGAAGCCACGUUUGCACGGGAGAACUGCUGAAAGCAUAUAAGCGGGAAACCUUUCUCUAUACAAGUUCUUAGAAUCGGUGAAAGACUCUCACCUUAAUAGGCGCAUGGUGCAAGUGCUGAAAGGCACGAAGCUUUUGCGUACUAAUCUGAUCGAAUCCAAUAAAAAA